AUUGAACGCUGGCGGCAGGCCUAACACAUGCAAGUCGAACGAGUGGCGGACGGGUGAGUAAUGUCUGGGAAACUGCCUGAUGGAGGGGGAUAACUACUGGAAACGGUAGCUAAUACCGCAUACCAUCAGAUGUGCCCAUAUGGGAUUAGCUUGUUGGUGGGGUAACGGCUCACCAAGGCUACGAUUCCUAGCUGGUCUUAGAGGAUGACCAGCCACACUGGAACUGAGACACGGGCCAGACUCCUACGGGAGGCAGCAGUGGGGAUUAUUGAACAAUGGUCGCAAGCCUGAUGCAGCCAUGCCGAGUGUAGGAAGAAGGCCUUAGGGUUGUAAAGUACUCUCAGCGGGGAGGCGUUACCCGCAGAAGAAGCACCUGCUAACUCCGUGCCAACAGCCGCGGUAAUUC
rnacentral:rRNA from 1 species